AGGGCCAUGGUGUUAGUGGUAGCACGCCGGUCUCCAAAACCGGAAGCAGGGGUUCGAUACCUCUUGGCCCUGCCA
rnacentral:tRNA from 1 species